UCCUUGGCUCUUGUAGCCUAUGUUUCCCCCGGAGUUCAUCCCCUCCCUGUAUCUUGGUCCAUCUGCCCGGAGCUUGAUGUACCAUUCCCUAGGGGUGACCAAACCCACCCGUUCUUCACCUCCCCGUGGACAAGGUUUCCCACAAGUAUUCUUGGCCGUGUAUUACUUGUUCCAUGCUCGGCAAAGGUCAGUGAAGCUCACACCAUUCACUACUUGUACUCUACCAAUGUUUGCUGCUGGGAACUAGGUGUAAAAUUUGCUCAAAGAUAUGCUUUCAGGUUUCUGGAUCACAGACUUAGUGCAUAAGGCUGAAACUAGGUUUAAGUGUGUUGAGCCUAACUUUGGAGCUCUGUUGCGCCCAGUCUAUUUGGUUUUGGGCCAAAGUUCUGUAGCAAGUUUGAAGACCAUAGUAAGAUGAACAAGAUUACUAAAGGGAGAUGGGCUAGGUGCUGCACAAAAUUGGGAGUAAAUCAUGUCCAAAUCUUCUCUGUCAGACUUCUGGAUAUUUUUUCAGAUUUGUGAAUAGUAUCUGAAAUCAGGAUUUUUAGUGCAAGUUUUGGGGCUGUGUGCUGCCUAUUCUAUGCAGUUUUGAACCAUGGUUUAUGAAGAGGAGUUCAAGACCAUGUUAUAAGGAACAAAUCCCUUUAAGUAAGUUAGGCUUGAAUCCACAUAAAGUAGGAAAUAACAGCUGUCCAAAACUGGACUGUCAGAGUGAUUGUGACUGAAUUUUAUUCAGUUAGCUGAAAUAGCAGUUCAGUGUGGGGAUAACUUGGGGUACAAUAGAAUUUGCUCUGAAUGUUUUCAAUCAUGGGUUGUUAUACCAAGUUGGUAAAGCUAAAGUUGGAGUAUAACUUUGGCUAAGAAGUUUUGGUCUGUACCAUAUGAAAUUAUGAGAUACCAGGGGCUUUAACAGGGAGGUGUGUAGAUGGGGCAGCAGGCCUAAGGUAAUUGGGUUCAGUCUUUCAUUUGAAAACUAAUGAAGAUCACCCCUGCUGCUCUCACCUGUGUAUGUGAAUGGAAAUGAGGGGCAAUGGAGACUGAAUAUUGGUUGUAGUGUCGACUGUGUAAACUUUCAGUAUCUAAAACUGAAUUCAGUUCAGUUCUUUUUCAGUUACCUGAAUUUGAGUUUUUGUGUUUUCACCUUAAAUUGGUGUUCAACUUAAGAUCUAUUUGGGGUCAGCUACUAGCCAUUGAAACAAAGAUAAAGAGUGAAUAUAGAGGAACAACUCCUAGUAGGGGAGUAUGUCGAGCCCUCAUGUGGAAUUGAGAAAAAGUGUAGUCUUGUGAUGUUUUAUAGUAUUUUAUCUGCAAACAACAUAAGCAUAAGCAUUCAUGUUCAUGUCAUUUCAUGUAGAGCUCCCAAAACAAAGAGUGAAGAUUCAAGAUGAAGUGGUUGCUAAAGAGGAGUCUACUCAAGUGUCUUAUCAUCAAGAGGAUGGAGCUAUCUAAUUGAUGGUUGGGUAGAGGGAUCUAGAACCUCUUCACUGCAAAAAGGCAAGCCCCGGUGCAUGCAACCCCUUCCUUGUGUUUUUAAAUACUUUUCGCACACUUAAGUCUAGUGAAAUGUGCAUUAGGUUUAUAGGAGUUGCUUGAAACCCUUUGAUGCAUUGCCUUCCUUGAUAUCCAUACCUUUAUAGAUACUUCUGGUGAAGUAUCAAAAUUUGAUUUACAAAAAUGCUUAGCCCUGCUUAGAUCUUGUGGAUAGAGGUUGUCUUUUGCAAUACUGCCUAGCUCAGGGGUUAUCCUGAGGAAAGAUGGCUUCUACCUGCAAGAAUACUUUCAUUGAGAGCGUGGUGGGAUCUUACUGCAAAGCUCCCUGUGAUGCUCUUUUCAUCCUAAGGAACAAAAACAAUCCUAAGGAUGGAAGUACUUAAAUCGAGACUUGGGUUAGGAACAGGUGAUGUUCUACCCAGGUUGAUUAAGGAUUGGAUGCGUAUGUAGGCCUGCUAGCGCAAGGACUAUCUUAGCUAGCCGCAUACCCUGGAAAUGGGACAGGGUAAGCUUUGCCUCGGGCAGACUAAGGCCAGAAUAAGAUAACACGAAAUGGGCGUGGAGCGGUGGCGGGAGUAGCGUGUACCCUCCGUGGCAAGAGGCUGGACGGUGGUGUAUCUGUGCUCUCGGUUUGCGUGAACCUGAUCUGGUCUUAAGAACCCUGGGGUCGAGUUGACAUAUGCAAGGAUUAAGUGCUACAUAUGUCGUGUGGUUAGAGAUCCUCAGCUGAGUAAAUCGAUUCGGAUCGCCGUUAUAUCCCCGGAGAGUGGAGACUUGAUCACUGACCUACAACCUAAGUCAGGAUGUGAACUUCAUGAAUAAAAAUGAUGUUGUAUUGAUGAGAUGAUGAAAUUAGACUAGAGGCAAACAGAGUCUAUUAAUAUUUAAUCUGGCGUUAAAAUGUUGAAAGUAAGGACUCACUUUAGUAAGCUAUUUCUGUAAAAGUAUCUAAGUUGAUUCUUGCUAAAGCCUCUUCUUGAUUCCUAUUUAUCCAGCAUACCCUUGAGAGUCUUUUCCUUAGUCGGGUAAGACUUGCUGAGUAAUUCCAUACUCAGGGUUUUAUUCCCUGUUGUUUUUCAGGUCAUAGCUUUGUGCUGCUGAUGAUGGUGUUAAGUGCCGGUGGGCUCGGCCUUCUUAUUAGUCUAAGUAACCCUUCUAUACUUCUUAUUGAGGAUGAUCAUUUGAGCUAGCAUAUAUUUCAAACUUAUACUUUUGUAACCACUCCGAUAAAAUAAUAUAAAAUUUUUGUAACUUGUAAAAUUUGGUAAUAGUAUUUCCGCUGCAAAAAUAUUGGUGUUUGUGAUUUGUGUUACUUAAUCCCGCGGUUCUGGUUGUAAGUGGUUUAUCCGAUGUCCUUGGGGCAAUCAGACGGAUCCUGUUAAGUUAUCUGGUGCACAUGCAUGUCGUCUGAGGUCUUUGAGACGAGGACAAGUGCAUGUGGGCCCAAUAACUUGGGAGGUUCUGCCACAGCUGGUAUCGGAGCUGGAUUAAGCAUAUAUGGUCACAUACGUAUUUUCAAAACAAAAGUUUUGGUUUUAGAAAACCUAUUUUCAACUAAACACAUUAUUUGGCUUUGAAAAAUAGAUUUGAAAAACUAUAAUGCUAGCGACAUCCUCUGUUAAGCCCUAAGUUAAGGACUAUAAGGUGGCUUAGUUUAGGAUGUUAACCACUAACCCACAACUAUAAUGCAAUUUUCUGCAGGUACACUAACUAAACCUUAGGAAAGUCCGACUAGUGAUCAAUAACGGAGUGAGUAGGUAUGCCACCGCCAUAGAACGUGAAAGCCACUAUAUGUUGACAAGAAUUGUGAGGACGAAUAAGUCGAGCAUGCAUCAUGACAUACAAUUUUAAGUUAAGCCCCCCUAUAUAGUAGCUUAGUACAUGUUUCAUCCAUCCUAUUCAUGCUACCUAUCUUUGCUUUUCUAUACUACCUUUUCCUAUUCGUGAAGCCGUGAGACUCAGUUCAUUUGGUGGACCUGUAGUUUAUAAGGUACAAUUGCCAAAGAAUUUUUCAACAGUGCACAACAUGUUCUAUGUGUCCCAUUUAAAGAAAUGUUUUUGAGUCCUCAAGCAUGUUAUUGAGAUUUCAGAUGUUAACCUUGGACCAAAUUUAACCCACUGGGAAUGUUCCGUAAAGGUUUUGGAUUAAAAGGAUUAGGUCACUCGAAGAUGAGUUAUCGAGUUUUAUGAGAUAUAGUGGAACCAACACACGGAAGAGGAAGCCAUAUGUGUUUUGAAGAAACAUUUCGAAAGACAUUUCCCUGAGUUUUGAGUUCCUUGUAAGUCCUAAGUUUGGUGUAGUUGUUCCUGACAUGAACCAACAGGGGCACACUCCCUGCCUUGUAGUAGUAAUGGGGAAAUAAGCCAGUGACGCAUUUCCUUUUUCAUUAUCUAGCCUAGAGUUUUUAAUCUCGGGACGAGAUUUUUUUUAGGGGGGAAGGCUGUAACACCCCUGGUGUUACGAUAACUAAAACCUUGUCAUGUCAUCAUCUGCACUUGCAUUAACUGCUUGAUACACCUAGAAUGCAUUCACUAGGUCAAAAAUUUUCAAUGAAUGUGGUGUUGUGCAUAAAAGUAUAGGGCUCAGAUUAAGAACUUUGCUUAAGACAUGGGAAGAGAAGUCAUCUCUUGAGCAAGUAGUAAGCUGGCUUAGAAUUUAAAGUAUUAAAGGCAAGUCCUAGAGUCUAUAGCAACCUUGUUUUCAAAGUUAGAUCAAGUGGAAGAAAUACUUGGGCCGAAGGAUUGACCUCAAAUCCCUAAGUGAGAUUUGAAAACCUUCCUUGUGAUUUGUGGAUAAACAAAGCAACUCCUAAACCAAGGACACUUUGGACAUGAGUUUCAUGUACUAGAGUUGGAUUGAGAUUAAGAAGUCACUUGUCUUUUAGGAGUAUGAAUUGAGUUGGUAAAUCACUAGAUGAGAAGAAGUCACAUUUGAAACCCUAAACUAGCCCAAAAGUGGAAUUCAAAAUCUAGAAAGAAUUUGACAAAAGUCCAUAUAUCAAAGUUGUAGAGCUUAGAAAAGUGGAUAUAUUUCUUAUUUGGAGAUUCCUAAGUUGUGUGGAAGAAUUUGGAGUUAAGUACAAAAAUUCAGUUUUGGGUUCAUUUUGGAAUUGCUGAAAAUAAUAUAAACUAGACAACUUUGAACCCUUGUAACUUCUGAUCUAAAACCAUUUUGAAGAUGAUCAUUAUAACAAAGUCAUAGAGCUACAUGAGGAGUACAAGUUUGGUUAAGUCACCUAGCCCUAACACUCUAUGGAACUUGGAGAAAAACUAGUCCAAAGUAGAGCUGUCAGAAAUUGUAGAUUUCAGACUAAGUGAAAUUCAGAUUCUGAAUUUCAGCAAUUGGAGCAAACUUUGGGCUAUUGUAGUUUGGAAUCCAAGAGGUUUUGGUUAAUGGUUACUAUAUCAAACUUGUAGAGGAACUAUAGGAGUAUAAACUUUAUUAAGCAACUUGCCCCUAUAAACAUUUGGAACCCAGGAAAAAGAGUGGUUCCAAGUGGUGCUGCUGUAUUUCUGAAUUUUCAGAUUUGAAACAGUAACUGAAACUGAAUUUCAGUGUUUUGAUAGCAGUUUUGAAGCCUAUUUGUGGCUGUUCUAUAAUGUUUUGUGCUAUGGUGUUUAUAGAGAAGUUGAAGCCCAUAUGAUGGUGAACAAGUUUAUUUAAGUGACUUUGGCUUGUUCCCACAUAAAAAGUGGAUAAAAAUGCCCCAAAGAUCAGCUGCUAGGCAUUCCUAUAACUGAAUUUGGUUCAGUUCUGAAAUCUAAAAUUUGUUGUAUGGUGCCAAGUUUGGAGCCCUUUUGUGGUUGUUCUAUAAGGUUUUGGACUGAGGUUUCUAUAGAGGAAUUGAAGACCAUAUAUUGGUGAACAACUUCUUUAAAGGUGAUGGACAUGAUCCUAUACGAAAAUUGGAGUAACAGCUGCUCAAAGGUUGGACUGUCAGGUGGCUAGUGACUUGGUCUAUUCAGAAUUUAAAGUCUGAAAUCAGUAGUGAUGCAAAGUUUAGAGCCCUAUUGUGACCAACCCUUGUGGUUUUGGACUAAGAAUUAUAUAGCAAAGUUGGAGUCCAUAGUACAGAGAAUAAGUUUUAUCAAGAGGGUUGGACUCGGUUCUACAAAAAAAUAGGAGUAAAACACCUCUAAACUUCCUCUGUCAGAAUCUGUGUAAUGCUGUUUCAGACCUCUGAAACCGAAUUUUCAGUGUUUUUCUUUAGACUUUGGAGCUAGUUGAUGGUUGAUCCAAGGGGUAAAAUCUUAAGGGUUUUAUGGAGGAAUCGUAGAGGGUUGUUUGGUGGACAAGUUUUAUUAAACUUGCUCUCCCUGUUAUUAUGAGAAAUUGAGAAGUUGAAGGGGGUUAACAGGGAGGUCUGCAACUGAGGUAGCAGUGGCCUGUUUAGUUAAGUCAGUACUGGUCUGAAAACUGAAGAUCUUUAUCUUCCUGCUGUACUUCGUUUAUGUGCUAGAGCUGAGAUAUAGAUGAAGUAUAGAGCUCAGGUACUAAAGGUCUUAACUCUACUGAAAAUAUCUAAUUUGGACGGUUGUGGGGGCUGUGAGCAGAAGAGUUCUUAUCCCCUUUGUUCACUGUUUUCAGUUUGGGACAAAGGGGGAUAUUUGUGCUGAGCUUAUGUGUGACAUGGGGUUGUGUUGGGCAUCCACGUGGGUGUGCCAUGCAGUGCUGGCGCCCUGAGAUUCCCCCCCCCCCCCCCCCCCCACCAUGGACUGGAUAGGUUCAGUGAACCUUGCCCUAGCCUUGUUCCCUUAUUUAAGUGUUGCUCCUGUAAUCUUUGUUGUCCUAGAGCUCGAGUGAUCUCCUUGGCUCUUGUAGCCUAUGUUUCCCCCGGAGUUCAUCCCCUCCCUGUAUCUUAGUCCAUCUGCCCGGAGCUUGAUGUACCAUUCCCUAGGGGUGACCAAACCCACCCGUUCUUCACCUCCCCGUGGACAAGGUUUCCCACAAGUAUUCUUGGCCGUGUACUACUUGUUCCAUGCUCGGCAAAGGUCAGUGAAGCUCACACCAUUCACUACUUGUACUCUACCAAUGUUUGCUGCUGGGAACUAGGUGUAAAAUUUGCUCAAAGAUAUGCUUUCAGGUUUCUGGAUCACAGACUUAGUGCAUAAGGCUGAAACUAGGUUUAAGUGUGUUGAGCCUAACUUUGGAGCUCUGUUGCGCCCAGUCUAUUUGGUUUUGGGCCAAAGUUCUGUAGCAAGUUUGAAGACCAUAGUAAGAUGAACAAGAUUACUAAAGGGAGAUGGGCUAGGUGCUGCACAAAAUUGGGAGUAAAUCAUGUCCAAAUCUUCUCUGUCAGACUUCUGGAUAUUUUUCCAGAUUUGUGAAUAGUAUCUGAAAUCAGGAUUUUUAGUGCAAGUUUUGGGGCUGUGUGCUGCCUAUUCUAUGUAGUUUUGAACCAUGGUUUAUGAAGAGGAGUUCAAGACCAUGUUAUAAGGAACAAAUCCCUUUAAGUAAGUUAGGCUUGAAUCCACAUAAAGUAGGAAAUAACAGCUGUCCAAAACUGGACUGUCAGAGUGAUUGUGACUGAAUUUUAUUCAGUUAGCUGAAAUAGCAGUUCAGUGUGGGGAUAACUUGGGGUACAAUAGAAUUUGCUCUGAAUGUUUUCAAUCAUGGGUUGUUAUACCAAGUUGGUAAAGCUAAAGUUGGAGUAUAACUUUGGCUAAGAAGUUUUGGUCUGUACCAUAUGAAAUUAUGAGAUACCAGGGGCUUUAACAGGGAGGUGUGUAGAUGGGGCAGCAGGCCUAAGGUAAUUGGGUUCAGUCUUUCAUUUGAAAACUAAUGAAGAUCACCCCUGCUGCUCUCACCUGUGUAUGUGAAUGGAAAUGAGGGGCAAUGGAGACUGAAUAUUGGUUGUAGUGUCGACUGUGUAAACUUUCAGUAUCUAAAACUGAAUUCAGUUCAGUUCUUUUUCAGUUACCUGAAUUUGAGUUUUUGUGUUUUCACCUUAAAUUGGUGUUCAACUUAAGAUCUAUUUGGGGUCAGCUACUAGCCAUUGAAACAAAGAUAAAGAGUGAAUAUAGAGGAACAACUCCUAGUAGGGGAGUAUGUCGAGCCCUCAUGUGGAAUUGAGAAAAAGUGUAGUCUUGUGAUGUUUUAUAGUAUUUUAUCUGCAAACAGCAUAAGCAUAAGCAUUCAUGUUCAUGUCAUUUCAUGUAG
rnacentral:lncRNA from 1 species